AAAGUGACGGGUGUUACAUUUUGGUAUCAGAGCUAUUUAUUUAUCGUAACAUUUUAUUAUGUAAAUCGGGGUGUCACAAUUUGGUAUCAGAGCUAUUUAUUUAUCGUAACAUUUUAUUAUGUAAAUCGGGGUGUCACAAUUUGGUAUCAGAGCUAUUUAUUUAUCGUAACAUUUUAUUAUGUAAAUCGGGGUGUCACAAUUUGGUAUCAGAGCUAUUUAUUUAUCGUAACAUUUUAUUAUGUAAAUGUGACGGGUGUCACAGGUUUAUACUCGUAGACAGAAGAAGCAGAAUAACUUGGAAGAGAAUAAGAAAUGAAGCAAGACGUGG
rnacentral:lncRNA from 1 species